UACGUAGGGGGCAAGCGUUGUCCGGAUUUAUUGGGCGUAAAGAGCGUGUAGGCGGCUAGGUAGGUCCGUUGUGAAAACUCGAGGCUCAACCUCGAGACGCCGGUGGAAACCAUCUAGCUAGAGUCCGGAAGAGGAGAGUGGAAUUCCUGGUGUAGCGGUGAAAUGCGCAGAUAUCAGGAGGAACACCGGUGGCGAAGGCGGGUCUCUGGGCCGAUACUGACGCUGAGGCGCGAAAGCGUGGGGAGCAAACAGG
rnacentral:rRNA from 1 species